CUUGGUCAUUUAGAGGAAGUAAAAGUCGUAACAAGGUUUCCGUAGGUGAACCUGCGGAAGGAUCAUUAUUGAAAUUAUAGGCGAGGGUUGUAGCUGGCCUCUCGGGGCAUGUGCACGCCUGAGCCCUUAAUCCACACACACCUGUGAACCUAUUGUAAGGGCCCUUAAAAAAGGCCUUUACGCCUUAUCAUCAACCCAUCGUAUGUCUCAUAGAAUGUAAAUAUAUGUCCUCGCCUUAAAAAGCGUUGAUAAACUUAUACAACUUUUAACAACGGAUCUCUUGGCUCUCGCAUCGAUGAAGAACGCAGCGAAAUGCGAUACGUAAUGUGAAUUGCAGAAUUCAGUGAAUCAUCGAAUCUUUGAACGCACCUUGCGCUCUCUGGUAUUCCGGGGAGCACACCUGUUCGAGUGUUAUUAAGACUAUCAAACAAAGGUGUCUAUCUCUGUUUGGAUUUGGGCUUUGCUGCAUUAAUGUGGCUAGUCUUAAAUAUAUUAGCUGGUCCUUGUUGAGGGUUUUGGUUCUACUCAGCGUGAUAAUUAUCUAACGUUGAGGACAGUUUCAGACCUGGCCAUAGUGAAAACUGGCCAUAGCUCUCUCUGGAUUGCUUCUAAAUUGUCUUGAGGACAAUUGCUUAAUUUCUGACCUCGAAUCAGGUGGGACUACCCGCUGAACUUAAGCAUAUCAAUAAGCGGAGGA
rnacentral:rRNA from 1 species